UGUCCGCCCCCACACCUCUCGCCGAUUACUGCUCGCACGCGCGCCCCUUCUUCGCCGCCCCGCGCUCGGCGCCGCCGCUCUUGCCCCGCGCUUCGCCGGCCUGCGCACCCCUCCUUCACCAGUCCGGCCUGCCCCUCACGGCCUCACCUCUCGACUCGUCUCCUCUCGGCGACAGACGAGGCGGAGGCGACCCGAGCCAUGGACUCCGUCCUGCGACCCUGCCAGCCGUCGGUCGCCGGCCGUUGCCCUGCCCCCAGGCCAACCCUACUCCCCUGUGCGGCUAUGCUGCGCAGCUUUCGGCGAACCGCCACCGCAGCUGCUACUCGCCAGCUCGCUCCCCGACCUCCCGGCUCCCGACGCCCGGCACUUCCCUGCUCCCCUGUGCGGUUCCCUCCUCCUCCCUGCCUGGUGACUGGCCCCCUCUCCCAAUUCCCUAAGUUCGUUGAGAAGGACUAAAAAUUCCUGAAGUAUGUGUUGUUUCUGGGAGACCUAGAAGAAGUGCUUGAGGCGACAUAACCUCUGCAGAGUUUCAGCAUUGCAUGGUGCCACCUUUUUAAGCAGAUUGGCCGGUGCCUUAACGGUUCCUCUACAGAGUUCCAGCAUUGCAGUGAUGAUGGUACUGAGGGCUCGUAAUGCAGAUGGCUCUAUUUUACGCCUAGCAAGUGAGGACUUUGAGAAGCAACCUCGACCAUGUGGAUGUGAAUGCUCAAUCAGGGUUAUCUAACAAAUCUUGAACUGUAUGUGAUGCUACUAGCAGGAAGGAUAUUAAUUGUAAGAUAUUUUUUCUGCAUAUGGACUCUUCCAACAGGCACUAACUUAACUAUUGUUGUUGUUGGUGAGGUAAUUACUCAUAAAUUUUCCUGGUUGGAUUGAA